UACGUAGGGGGCAAGCGUUGUCCGGAUUUAUUGGGCGUAAAGAGCGUGUAGGCGGCUAGGUAGGUCCGUUGUGAAAACUCGAGGCUCAACCUCGAGACGUCGAUGGAAACCAUCUAGCUAGAGUCCGGAAGAGGAGAGUGGGAAUUCCUGAUGUAGCGGUGAAAUGCGCAGAUAUCAGGAAGAACACCCGUGGCGAAGGCGGCUCUCUGGUACGUGACUGACGCUGAGACGCGAAAGCGUGGGGAGCGAACAGG
rnacentral:rRNA from 1 species